rnacentral:misc_RNA from 1 species
AAGGACUUCUGGAGCCUGUUGAGGUUAAUUCAAAAGCAUUAUUUUCUACAUCCUCAUUUUUCUUUUUAAUAUUCUUGGGCAGCCUUUGGUAAUGUUUAUAGCAGAUCUAAUGAAUAUCUUGUUCUAUUACAUGGAACUGGGUGCAUAGUUUGGAUAGUAACUUUUUAACUUUUGCUGCAUCAAAAGUUUUCCAAAGUUGUGGUGUGUUCCUUUUGAGGUGUUUUGGAUUGCGAGUUAUGGGAGAAGGGAAGCUGUCAAAUAUGGGGUAGACUGACUUUUCUUGCAUCGGAAAUACCAUUUUUGUCAAUGUUUCUUAGCUCCUUUGAACAUAAUACAGGAACAAUCUAAAUAAGUGUUUCUAUUACGUUCCAUGUGUGAAGACUGAGGACUUAUUUACUGACUUAGUAGUGACUCUGUUUAUUGAUAUUUUCUUUUUCUUUUCCUUCCUUGUUUUGACACGCUUGUUUAGCAUGCCGCCUUAUUAGCAUGCUAAUUUUACUCUUACUGCUUUACAACAUUUCUCACAAAUGUCUCCAUUGAAAAUGAAGUGUCCAUGAAGCAUAUGCAUCCAAUUCUCAUAUGUUGAUCUCUCUCUCUUUGAUUUUUCCACCUCUUUUAGUUUUGGGAUGGAAGUGAAAGUGUGCCUUGGUGCAACGGUAAGAUUACACCAUUCUAUCUUGGCAGAUCACAGGUUCAAAUCAUAGAAAGUUAGAAACAGCCUCCUUUCAAUUCAAGGGGAAGGUUGCAUACUUCUGAUCUCUUCAAAACCCAUGAUGCAAUAAGCCAUUCAUUGCUACCAACAAAGAGAUAUUGUUUGCCCCUAUUUAUUCGCAUCGAACUCCUCCCAUGAGUUAUUCAUAGUGAUUAUCAUUGUAGUUAAAUAUGGAUUUAAACCAUGAACCUUAUUGACUAGGGAGCAUGUGCUGUUUCUUUGACCUCUGAAUUUUUUAUUAUUAAAGAUUUGCACUUGAGAGUUGCAUGUCUAUUGAUAGGAACAAAAAACAAUUGGUUCAG